UGGUUCUGGCAUCGAUGAAGAACGCAGCGAAAUGCGAUAAGUAAUGUGAAUUGCAGAAUUCAGUGAAUCAUCGAAUCUUUGAACGCACAUUGCGCCCGCCAGAAUUCUGGCGGGCAUGCCUGUUCGAGCGUCAUUUCAACCCUCGAGCUCCCCUCUUUUUGGGAGAGCCCGGCGUUGGGGACCCGGCGCUAACACCGCCGGCCCCGAAAUGGAGUGGCGGCCCGUCCGCGGCGACCUCUGCGUAGUAAUAUCCACUCGCACCGGGACCCGGGCGCGGCCACGCCGUUAAACACCCCACCUUCCGAAUGUUGACCUCGAAUCAGGUAGGAAUACCCGCUGA
rnacentral:misc_RNA from 1 species